GGGAAUGUGGCUUAGUGGUAGAGUCCUUGCCUAGCAUGCAUGAAGCCCUGGGUUCGAUUCCUCAAUACCA
rnacentral:tRNA from 1 species